rnacentral:lncRNA from 10 species
AUCUCCAUUCAAAUAUGAUGUUUUAUGAAAUAUAAUGUCCUUUUGUCACAUUGUGCACUAAGAGUAUUACUUUUCUAUUUUGUGUGGGGAAGGCUGUAAUAUCUGUUCAGCUCUAUCAAGAACAAAUGUACAGAGCGUCCCACCUAUUGAGACACUGCCUUAUUUCAGGUUCAGUAUAGAAGAGGGAGAAUUGCUGUGUUCCUGUGACCCUGGGGAAAAAGGAAUUCCUAGAUUCACCUUCAGGACAAAGAUUGACCCGGUAGAAAAUAAAACUGAGGAAAGAAGAAGAUACGCACAACAGAGGGGAAGACAUUGGCUGAGCCUCACA